GACGAACGCUGGCGGCGUGCUUAACACAUGCAAGUCGAACGAUGAAGCUGGAGCUUGCUCCGGUGGAUUAGUGGCGAACGGGUGAGUAACACGUGAGCAAUCUGCCCUUGACUCUGGGAUAACUGCGGGAAACUGUAGCUAAUACCGGAUACGAGGCUUGGAGGCAUCUCCAGGUCUGGAAAGAAUUUCGGUCAAGGAUGAGCUCGCGGCCUAUCAGCUAGUUGGCGAGGUAAUGGCUCACCAAGGCGACGACGGGUAGCCGGCCUGAGAGGGUGACCGGCCACACUGGGACUGAGACACGGCCCAGACUCCUACGGGAGGCAGCAGUGGGGAAUAUUGCACAAUGGGCGAAAGCCUGAUGCAGCAACGCCGCGUGAGGGAUGACGGCCUUCGGGUUGUAAACCUCUUUUAGUAGGGAAGAAGCGAAAGUGACGGUACCUGCAGAAAAAGCACCGGCUAACUACGUGCCAGCCGCCGCGGUAA
rnacentral:rRNA from 1 species